rnacentral:rRNA from 1 species
CAGCAGCCGCGGUAAUACGAGGGGUGCAAGCGUUAUUCGGAUUGAUUGGGUGUAAAGGGUGUGCAGACGGCUUAUUAAGUCACUUGUUAAAUUCUUCGGCCUAACUGAAGGUCUGCAAGUGACACUGAUGAGCUAGAGGGUGGAAGAGAGAAGUGGAAUUCUCGGAGUAGCGGUAAAAUGCGUAGAUCUCGAGAGGAACACCAAUGGCGAAGGCAGCUUCUUGGUCCAUUCCUGACGUUCAUACACGAAAGCGUGGGGAGCAAACAGGAUUAGAUACCCCCGUAGUCCCUGUCUCUUAUAC